rnacentral:rRNA from 1 species
CCUACGGGGGGCUGCAGUGGGGAAUAUUGGACAAUGGGGGCAACCCUGAUCCAGCCAUGCCGCGUGUGUGAAGAAGGCCCUCGGGUUGUAAAGCACUUUCAGUGAGGAAGAACGCCUGGUGGUUAAUACCCAUCAGGAAAGACAUCACUCACAGAAGAAGCACCGGCUAACUCCGUGCCAGCAGCCGCGGUAAUACGGAGGGUGCGAGCGUUAAUCGGAAUUACUGGGCGUAAAGCGCGCGUAGGUGGCUUGAUAAGCCGGUUGUGAAAGCCCCGGGCUCAACCUGGGAACGGCAUCCGGAACUGUCCAGCUAGAGUGCAGGAGAGGAAGGUAGAAUUCCCGGUGUAGCGGUGAAAUGCGUAGAGAUCGGGAGGAAUACCAGUGGCGAAGGCGGCCUUCUGGACUGACACUGACACUGAGGUGCGAAAGCGUGGGUAGCAAACAGGAUUAGAUACCCGGGUAGUC